rnacentral:rRNA from 1 species
CCUACGGGUGGCUGCAGUAGGGAAUAUUGGGCAAUGGGCGAAAGCCUGACCCAGCCAUGCCGCGUGAAGGAUGAAGGCCUUCUGGGUUGUAAACUUCUUUUAUAUAGGAAGAAAAAGGUCAUGCGUGACCAAUUGACGGUACUAUAUGAAUAAGCACCGGCUAACUCCGUGCCAGCAGCCGCGGUAAUACGGAGGGUGCAAGCGUUGUCCGGAUUUAUUGGGUUUAAAGGGUGCGUAGGCGGUCUGUUAAGUCAGUGGUGAAAUCCCGCAGCUCAACUGCGGAACUGCCAUUGAUACUGGCAGACUUGAGUACGGACGAGGUAGGCGGAAUUUAUGGUGUAGCGGUGAAAUGCAUAGAUACCAUAAAGAACACCGAUAGCGAAGGCAGCUUACUAGACCGUAACUGACGCUCAGGCACGAAAGCGUGGGGAGCGAACAGGAUUAGAUACCCUUGUAGUC